rnacentral:rRNA from 1 species
UACGUAGGGUGCGAGCGUUAUUCGGAAUUACUGGGCGUAAAGCGUGCGCAGGCGGUGUUGUAAGACAGAUGUGAAAUCCCCGGGCUCAACCUGGGAACUGCAUUUGUGACUACAUCGCUGGAGUGCGGCAGAGGGGGAUGGAAUUCCGCGUGUAGCAGUGAAAUGCGUAGAUAUGCGGAGGAACACCGAUGGCGAAGGCAAUCCCCUGGGCCUGCACUGACGCUCAUGCACGAAAGCGUGGGGAGCAAACAGG